AUUUGAGAACUACCUGGAGGGUUGGAAAAAUCUGAGGGGGUAAACUUAUCUAGCCCUUGUCAAUGCCUCCACACAUCCCAGCCAACUUCCAACAUUCUUACUCAGAUGCUGGUUUCAAAGAAAGACAUUCCAAGUUGGAAUCUGUCAAACUCGUGAAGACAAAUGUCUAUUCAGAGUGGCCGGGGAGGGCUAUACGAGGAGGUAGAGUUCAAACUUUGCAUGACCAAGUCCUGGCUCACACAGCCUCUCCAAAUGCUAUGCAAAAAAAUAAUGGUUGAAAUAGAAUCCCAUGGGCAGUCCAUGUGAGGAAGAAGCAACUGAAUGCAAAUAGAUAAUUUUCAGUCUUAACGUCUAAGCUACGGAUCAGAGUGACCUAUGUGUUGUAGCUAAACCUCACAGCUAAUUCUGCAAGAUAAAUGUUAUGAAGCCCAUUUUCCAGUGAAGGAUCUCUGGCUGGAGGAGAAACCACACAAGUACCUAAGCCAGGCUUUUAAAACUGUGGAGCCUAGGUUUGUGGCUCUUUGGUCAACUGCUUACCUAAGAAGGGCAAGGUUUUGUCUCCAAUCCCUUCAACAAUUGAUUAAGAAUCCCAUUGUAUAAUACAUUCCAUUGUAUAAUAUCUUCCAUUUUAUACUAUAAUAAUCUAUCAUACUAUUCAUCAUCUCUGUUUUUUAUUGUCACAAUGUUUAAGUAUGAACAUACAUUGUAAAUGGAUACAAUUAGAUACAAUGGAUAAGCCUCUUAGACUUGUCUUUUCCUCACAGAUAGAAGAUAGUAUGUAACUUUUACACCUUGGCAUGUGAUGGUCAACUUAGAGUAAUAAUAACUAAGAGGUGACUUGUCUUAACACAGAAGAAUUUAAACAAAUGGUUUCCACAUCAGGCAAUUUUUAAGCUGAGUUGAUUUUAUGCUUUUAAAGGGAAAAUACUCUGGAAGUUUCUUUCUCCUCCAGUUUUUCAAGACUGCAAAAGGAGAGUGUAUCUAUAGCUAUGUAUAUGUGACAGUAAACUGCUGACCUGAACAUUAUCAUUGACUCAUGGAUAAUGUCUGCUGUGUUCAAAAGCCAUCAUGCCAAACAUGAAUUUAUACAGUAUCAGGCUGACCCUCAUUAGUGCAGCAUACCAGGCACAAAGUGGACUCAGUGAGUCUAGUAAAUGUGUGUAUUUCUACUCAUAGCCUUUUCUUCUAGCUUUGACUCUUUUUCAAGUUUAUUGUUUGUGACACUAAUAUGGAACUUUCCAGUUGAUGUUCAAAAGAACAUUUUAUAUCAAGUUCAAUUUGAUUCCAACUACUGGAAGGAAGAAAAAGAUGUCUGAAGAUGACCAGUUAUAUAGGAUUGCUGCACGGAAAGAAAUAUAAAGAGAAGAUUAACCUUAUGGAACUCACAAAUGACUCCCACAACAUGUAUUCCUGAGCAUUUUCACAACCCUUUGGUUUGCCUAAUGCAGUGUGUAUUAUACAUAAUUUACCUUACCAGCCCAUUGGCUUCUUGUAAACUGAAGCCAUGCAUGAUCCUUUACUGUGCUGAUAGAUCCUCACUGAUGAUCACACAAUAAACCAUGCAGAAUAGAUUAAUGAAUGCUAACACCCCCAUAAUACAGUUUUGUUUCUUUUUCUUUGAGAGAAUUCAAAAUUACAAUACUCAGAGUUCAGGGCUGGCUAGAUGACUCAAUAUAUUAAGUGCACUUGCCACCAAGCUUAACAACUUGUGUUUGAUUCCUGAACAUGGUAGGAGACAACUAACUCCUGCAAGGUGCCUCUCACUGUCCCCCACUACCACAAAAGCAAAAUGAAUACAUAAAAUAUUCAGAUUUUAGAACCACCUCCUUUAAUUGCUUAGGUAUGACUUCCUCAGAUUUUAUAUUUGGUUUCUACUAGCUUCAAGGUCAUAAAAUAAAUGAGGAUAUAGCAGUCAGCUUUCUGUUACUGUAAGAAAUACCUGAGGCAGUCAACAUUUAGAAAGAGGAAAGGCUUUUUUGGGGGGUGGAGUUCGGUGUUGCAGGGCUCUGUCCAUGACUGAUCGCCUACUAUUUGGGCACAUCAGUAAAGAAAUAUGUCACAGCAGAUGACAAGCUGUUCCCCUCCCAGUGGGGAAGCCAAGCAAGGGAGAGGCAGUAGCUGAGGUUCCCAUAUCCCUUUAAUGGCAUCCCUCUAAUGACAGGAAUACUUCCCACAGGCCUCCAUGUCUUAAAAGUUCCACCACCUUCUAAUGUUGUCACAGGCUGGGAACCAAGCCUUUAAGCAACAUGGGCCUUUGAGGAACUCUUAUUUAAAACCACCAGAGGACAUAACUUUUGCUUGCUCCAAAAAAACUUGAUUUGUAAAUCAAGUUUUGAUUGCAACAGGAAUGGACUGAGAAAAUACUGCCUGAGCUACAGGAGAUCUUAUCUUUGGAGGAAUUGCCUGGCCCCCGGAAUGUUCUCUGCAUUACCAUUACAAUUGUUACCUUUCCCUUCAAUGCUUCUGUCACUUGAGUAAUCAAAAGUGUUUAGUGCAGAAACUGCAGUCAGCCACAAACUCACGUUUCGCUGGUAUUUAUAUUUAUUCUAGGAGAGCUUUAUUGUGCAAUGGCUAGCUGGACUUUUAUGCUUUAAAACCAUGUGAAAUAGCUAGGAAAACACAUAUCUACUAAUUUCAAACCCAAACUUAAAAGAUGUCCUUGACUGUGACCUGUUAAUAUUGCAUGAAUUUAACCACUCAGCACGAGCAUGAAACCUAAGACCUAACGUCCUGAGAAGUAACAGAAUAUCUUGUUAAAGCCCCCGCACCUAUGCUGAUACCUGACAUUUCCCUAAUAUCUAUAUCAGUGGCACAUCCCUAUUCCCUUCGUCAUGUUCCUUUCAGGGGAAAAAUGAUCUGAAAGCACUUUUGCUAUUUGCUGCCAGCUCCGGUUUUUUAUUUGUUUGUUUGUUUGUUUUGUUUUGUUUUAUUUCUUGAUGCAGAGAUUUAAAGUUCAGGGGCAUUAAAUACCAGCUCAGACCCACUGUCUAGUAAGUCAGAGUGCGAGACAAUACGGUAAGUUGCCUGACUCUAACUCUAAUGAUGGUCCCCAUCAUUUCCGAGUUCAAAACCUCAAAUGAUUACUUCUUAGUGUUUAUGUACAUGUGUGUGUGGGUACACAUGUGUGUGCCUGUGAGCCCAAAAGUCGACCCUGAGUGGCUUUCUUGAUUGCUCUCCGCCGGGGUCUCUUUACUAAGCUUGGAGCUCAUUGUUUCUGUUAGAUCCCUAGGCUGGUGAGCCCAUGGGAUUCACUUGUCUCUGCUGCUCUCCUAGAACUGGGGUUACCCAUGCAAAUCUCCCACAUCCAGCUUUUGUUGUGGGAGCUGAGCAUCCAAGCUCAUGGUUUGUCCUCCUGGUUGUGCGGCAAGUGCCUUAGUACUGAGUCAUCUCAGCCACUUUUCUAUGAUGGUAUGUUUUAUUUUAUUUCAUUUUUCACAUGUGUAUUUUCAUUAAGUAUUACUGGGUUUUGUUAGAGGCUUACCACUAAUGAGCC
rnacentral:lncRNA from 1 species